CAACCCUCAAGCCCUGCUUGGUGUUGGGGCUCUAUAGUUGAUAUAGACCCUGAAAAUCAGUGGCGGGCUCGCUAUAACUCCGAGCGUAGUACAUACCUCGCUUAGGGUGUUUUAGUGGGAUCUGGCCUCUCUUUUAAACUCUUUCAA
rnacentral:misc_RNA from 1 species